rnacentral:rRNA from 1 species
GACGAACGCUGGCGGCGUGCCUAAUACAUGCAAGUUGAGCGCUGAAGGUUGGUCCUUGUACCAACUGGAUGAGCAGCGAACGGGUGAGUAACGCGUGGGGAAUCUGCCUUUGAGCGGGGGACAACAUUUGGAAACGAAUGCUAAUACCGCAUAAAAACUUUAAACACAAGUUUUAAGUUUGAAAGAUGCAAUUGCAUCACUCAAAGAUGAUCCCGCGUUGUAUUAGCUAGUUGGUGAGGUAAAGGCUCACCAAGGCGAUGAUACAUAGCCGACCUGAGAGGGUGAUCGGCCACAUUGGGACUGAGACACGGCCCAAACUCCUACGGGAGGCAGCAGUAGGGAAUCUUCGGCAAUGGACGAAAGUCUGACCGAGCAACGCCGCGUGAGUGAAGAAGGUUUUCGGAUCGUAAAACUCUGUUGGUAGAGAAGAACGUUGGUGAGAGUGGAAAGCUCAUCAAGUGACGGUAACUACCCAGAAAGGGACGGCUAACUACGU